rnacentral:lncRNA from 1 species
UCAGAGGCCAAUAUCAGCUGUCAAAAUCCCACAUUCCCCUCUCUCCCCUCUUUCAAGUGCAAAACAACCUGCGUCUGAAGAUGUGCCCGAGAUAAAAGGGCACACACAGCGCUGGGGGCUUUGACUCCGUCCUAUUCACGGCCCCACCACCAUGAAUACGGCAAAACCUCCAAUGAAAGUUUUAAUCUCCCCACUGCAUUCAGCUUAAAGAGAAAGGGCUUCCUUUUAACAAUUUCCCCCCUUAAACCUUUUGUGUUGCAAUGCUCCUGAAAACAGCGGAGAUUUCACUCCGACCCGGCGAGGGCUUUACGCCAAAGAAAGCAACGCACCUCCAAGCCUUUGUGCGGGCAUAAGAAGGGCCGACCGGCCCGAGCCCACGGCGCAGCAGCCGCAACCCCAGGGGCGCGCGGGGGCAGACGGUGCCCGCGGCACUGCAGACGCCCGGCUCAGGUUUCUCCACCGAUGGACCUAAUGGGACGGGAGUGAUCACGCCGUGGGCCCCAUGGCUCUCCAAACCGAGGAGUCUGGGCUGGGAGUGCGACAAGGGUGGACGACUUCCCAGCCAGGCCGCUGGUCUGAAACGCACCAAGCCGCACACCAGGAGGCCUAAUCAGGCCCUCUGCCUUCAGGCUGCGCUCAAAGGAAGGAAAAAGAACAACUCUACUCCACGUUCAGCCCUCUCCCAGUCAUCCUCUGGGCGGAACCUCGGACGGGGAAUCUUCACAAGACCCCGGUUAAUUGCGGAGAAGCAGAUUUGGCUGCCUGUGAUGGAACCGGAGUUCAGCCCAGCUUCAUCAUCCUCAUAUUUGAGCAGGCUCUCUGACUCCUCCUGCAGUGCCCCUGCCAGCUGUCUUGUUUUGGCAUUUCUCUUGGCUUAUUUUAAAGCUGUGUGGCAGAAGAUCAUUUCCUCUGCGG